UGGCGGACGGGUGAGUAACACGUGGGUAACCUGCCCAGAAGAAGGGGAUAACACCUGGAAACAGAUGCUAAUACCGUAUAACAACAAGAACCACAUGGUUCUUGUUUGAAAGCUGGCCUUUGUGCUAGUGCUUCUGGAUGGACCCGCGGCGUAUUAGCUAGUUGGUGAGAUAAUAGCUCACCAAGGCAAUGAUACGUAGCAGACCUGAGAGGGUAAUCUGCCACAAUGGGACUGAGACACGGCCCAUACUCCUACGGGAGGCAGCAGUAGGGAAUCUUCCACAAUGGACGAAAGUCUGAUGGAGCAACGCCGCGUGAGUGAAGAAGGGUUUCGGCUCGUAAAACUCUGUUGUUAGAGAAGAACAGCCGUGAGAGCAACUGCUCACGGUAUGACGGUAUCUAACCAGAAAGUCACGGCUAACUACGUGCCAGCAGCCGCGGUAAU
rnacentral:rRNA from 1 species